AAAAAAAUUAUUAUCUUCACCCUACAUAUAGAGGUAGACUCAAGUCAGGUCCUAUUUAGAACCGGUCCAACCCAAAAUUAAAAUCAAUCAAAACCUAAUUGACCAACAUUGGUUUUCAAUUAACCAGUUUGGUCUGGUUUCAGAUUAAAACCAGAUUUUUUUCUUUGUUAAAAAAAUUGGAAAAAAAAAAUUCAACUGUUGGAU
rnacentral:misc_RNA from 1 species